GGAGUAACACGUGACUAACCUACCCUCGAGUGGGGGAAUAACUCCGGGAAACCGGAGCUAAUACCGCAUAACAUCUUCGGAGCGCAAGCUCUGUUGAUCAAAGGAGCAAUUCGCUUGAGGAGGGAGUCGCGGCUGAUUAGCUAGUUGGCGGGGUAAUGGCCCACCGAGGCUUAGAUCGGUAGCCGGCCUGAGAGGGCGCACGGCCACACUGGAACUGAAACACGGUCCAG
rnacentral:rRNA from 1 species